GCGACGAUCUGUAGCUGGUCUGAGAGGACGACCAGCCACACUGGGACUGAGACACGGCCCCAGACUCCUACGGGAGGCAGCAGUGGGGAAUUUUGGACAAUGGGCGAAAGCCUGAUCCAGCAAUGCCGCGUGUGUGAAGAAGGCCUUCGGGUUGUAAAGCACUUUUGUCCGGAAAGAAAACCUCCGCCCUAAUAUGGUGGGGGGAUGACGGUACCGGAAGAAUAAGCACCGGCUAACUACGUGCCAGCAGCCGCGGUAAUACGUAGGGUGCAAGCGUUAAUCGGAAUUACUGGGCGUAAAGCGUGCGCAGGCGGUCCGCUAAGACAGAUGUGAAAUCCCCGGGCUUAACCUGGGAACUGCAUUUGUGACUGGCGGGCUAGAGUAUGGCAGAGGGGGGUAGAAUUCCACGUGUAGCAGUGAAAUGCGUAGAGAUGUGGAGGAAUACCGAUGGCGAAGGCAGCCCCCUGGGCCAAUACUGACGCUCAUGCACGAAAGCGUGGGGAGCAAACAGGAUUAGAUACCCUGGUAGUCCACGCCCUAAACGAUGUCAACUAGUUGUUGGGGAUUCAUUUCCUUAGUAACGUAGCUAACGCGUGAAGUUGACCGCCUGGGGAGUACGGUCGCAAGAUUAAAACUCAAAGGAAUUGACGGGGACCCGCACAAGCGGUGGAUGAUGUGGAUUAAUUCGAUGCAACGCGAAAAACCUUACCUACCCUUGACAUGUAUGGA
rnacentral:rRNA from 1 species